GUCAAGGGCAGGAAGAGUAAAGGGCAGGUUUUGGUAGACUAGUGGAAAAGGUGGGGCUGUUCCCAGGUUCCAGUCCCACCCCCAGAGAAUGCCAACCUGAAUGACUUUCUCCACAGCCUUUCCAAUACAGGGCACCAUCUGCUCUCAUCAAACACCAAGACCUGGACAAGAUGGGGAACCGAAGCACAGAGAAGGUAAAUUACUUCCCAUGUCACAUGCCUCAAACCUAGUUGUUCUGCUUCGUGUCUGCGUUUUGGAGGACUGUAUUAUCCAUCACAUGAGGGUCUUGUGAAACAAGUAAUGAAGUUCCUGGCACCCAGUAGCACCCGGCAUAUGGUGGCAAUGACCCAUUACCUAAAGCUGUCUCCUCCUCAACUAGCAGCCAUUCCCUUCUUUUGAUAGAUUAUGGUGUUUGAUCUGAAUCUGUUGGCACCAAUAAACAGAAGAGGUUCCUCUUGAUUAUCUAUAAUGAAUCAAAGAUGUCACUGAUUUAUUGCAUGCAAUUUAGAUUCCAUUUAAACUGCUGAAAAUCAAGCAUUGUGAAGCUGUUCACAAUCACAUUCUCUCUUGU
rnacentral:lncRNA from 1 species